GCAAACCGAUUGGGACUUAUGAAACUCUCACUGUUCUGGGAGAGAUUCAUCACAUUCAAUAAACAUACAAACAAACAAACAAAUAAACAAUUCAUGGCUGAGCGAAGUAAAAACGUGAUAAAUAUAACUAGUGUGCUCACCAAUAUCUGGUUCUCCUCUCUAGGCACAUAGAAGACUGGACUGACCAGCCCUCUGUGGUUGGACAGUUAUGUGACUUGUUUAGGUUAAUAGAAUUUUAGCAGCAGUGACAUCUGUCACUUCCCUACCGAAGCGGGAAAGCACUGGGAGCAGGUGAGAGGUCCAGCCUCUAUCUCCCAGCUGAGGAGACCAAAGGAGUCACGUAUGCUAGAUGUUGCAGCUACAGAUAGUAGAGCUUCCAUCAGCCUGGAUCCUUUUUUGUUUUUUAAAUCUUUUUUUUUUUAAAGAUUUUAUUAAUUUAUUUAACAGAGAGAAGAGACAGAGCACAAGCAGGGGGGAGCAGCAGGCAGAGGACGAGGGAGAAGCAGGUUUCCAGCUGAGCAGAGAGUCCAACUCAAGGCUCGAUCCCAGGACCUGGUGAUCAUGACCUGAGCCGAAGGCAGAUGUUCAGCUGACUGAGCCAUCCAUGUGCUCCAGCUUGGAUCCUUGAGUGACUGCUGGAGCUGAAUUUUCCCAGCACACAUACCACCAGCCUUGACUUGCAAUGGACAUCGGCAAGAAAUGGAUCUUGUUUGUCUUCGAUGUUGGGAACUGGAGGUUAAUUUGUUAUCACAGCACAACCUAGCCUAUUCUAACCAAUGCAAUUAUCUAGUGAACACUAAUGAUACUGACAGGGGUGUGCCAUUCACCCAUCAGACCUGUCACUGAGAGGAGGCAAAGGCUGCUUAUGGUGCAAGAUAGAGGACAAAAGGAAUGUGGCAGUUCAAAUGACCAAGUUGAAGAAGACUGGACUCCUGUAGUCUCCUGUGGGAUGCCGGGAGGCAGAGCAGAACUUCCAGGUGACAGUCUCAGAGGUGCUUAUCCCAGGCACACCAAACUCCAGACCCAGGCCAGUGGAGCACAGUGCUCAACCCAAUCCAAGGCCAUUAAAGCUAAGUUCUGUGAAGGAAAACAAAGAGACUAA
rnacentral:lncRNA from 12 species